rnacentral:rRNA from 1 species
UGGGGAAUAUUGCACAAUGGGCGCAAGCCUGAUGCAGCCAUGCCGCGUGUGUGAAGAAGGCCUUCGGGUUGUAAAGCACUUUCAGUCAGGAGGAAAGGUUAGGUGUUAAUAGCGCUUGGCUGUGACGUUACUGACAGAAGAAGCACCGGCUAACUCCGUGCCAGCAGCCGCGGUAAUACGGAGGGUGCGAGCGUUAAUCGGAAUUACUGGGCGUAAAGCGUACGCAGGCGGUUUGUUAAGCGAGAUGUGAAAGCCCCGGGCUCAACCUGGGAACUGCAUUUCGAACUGGCAAACUAGAGUGUGAUAGAGGGUGGUAGAAUUUCAGGUGUAGCGGUGAAAUGCGUAGAGAUCUGAAGGAAUACCGAUGGCGAAGGCAGCCACCUGGGUCAACACUGACGCUCAUGUACGAAAGUGUGGGGAGCAAACAGG